UACUGCAUUUUUUCUUACCUGUGUUUUUCUUUUUUUGAAAACUUUGCUUUGGUAGGCUCUAUAUGGGGCCUGCCAGAGAUUAAACUCAACCAAAUUUUAUUUAAUGUCAACCGAUUAUUUAAUAGUCAAAACUUUCAACAACGGAUCUCUUGGUUCUCGCAUCGAUGAAGAACGCAGCGAAAUGCGAUAAGUAAUAUGAAUUGCAGAUAUUCGUGAAUCAUCGAAUCUUUGAACGCACAUUGCGCCCUUUGGUAUUCCAAAGGGCAUGCCUGUUUGAGCGUCAUUUCUCCCUCAAACCCUCGGGUUUGGUGUUGAGCGAUACGCUGGGUUUGCUUGAAAGAAAGGCGGAGUAUAAACUAAUGGAUAGGUUUUUUCCACUCAUUGGUACAAACUCCAAAACUUCUUCCAAAUUCGACCUCAAAUCAGGUAGGACUACCCGCUGAACUUAAGCAUAUCAAUAAGCGGAGG
rnacentral:rRNA from 1 species